ensembl:lncRNA
AGCAGCUUUCAGAUAUUGGAAGAGAGCAAUAGGGUCUCCCCCCAGUCUCCUUUUCCCCAGACUAAACAGCCCCAGUUCCUUCAGUCUCUCCUCGUAGGUCAUAUUCUCUAAGCCCUUCUCAAGACUUGUUGCCCUUCUUUGGACCUGCUCCAGCACCUCAAUGUCCUUUCAACAUCCAGAAAAACUGGCUUUUACUUAAGGACUAGAUGUAAUACUUAUUGAGGUCAACAGGAUUCUUUCAGUUAGUAUCAACCAUCUCUGGAUCAGAAAAGCACCCAGUGUUCAUUUAGAGACUAAACAAAAAUAAAAAUUAAUGAUGUGCUGAUGGGCAAAGCUUACCUCUUCCCAUUCCACUGCUGUCGGGGCAAGCUGCCUUUAACAGCUAUUUUAUUUGCUGCUUUACAAGUGUAAUAAAAUUGUACCCAUUGGUCCCGAAUCUAAUGGUUAUUUCCAUCCUGACUGCCAUGUAUCACUUGCAAAAGGCUCUGGUUUUAAUAGUUAUUCUCUUUUUGGUAUUACAGUGUGGCGGCUUUUUAAUGAGAUAUGCACAGAGCUUUUAUGAAAAGACUGACACAUCAUACUCGUGUUGUGUUCAAACCAGAAAUACAACACAAUUUUUGACAUUCUUCAGGACUCUCUGUUGUUAGAUCUUUGAAACUCACUGUAUCCAGACUCAAUGUAUACAAACUCACUCUACUAGGAAUCACCUGGCAUUUUAAGCCUUUUGAUGGAACAAAAAUAGGAUAGCAUUUUAGCACAACAACAACAAAAAAAUCAGAUAUAGGUUCAGUAUUUUUCUGACAGUAGUGUUAUUUGUUGCAGUGAUUGUUGUCUGGAUGUUUAUUAUUCACAGAUAUAAACAGGAUAUUUUUAAAAUAAGCUACAGUUUACACUGAAUGUCUGAAACUCACAUUAACCUUAACAUCGGUAAGGAGAUAAAUCUGCUAUUUAUAACCUUAUAGGCUAUAUUUCAGCAGAAUCUGAACUAUACACUUGAAUUCAGAGCAUUAAUAAGUUAGUCAUCAUUCACACCAGAUUCCUGUUUUUGUUUUAUUGAUUAGGCAAAAUUAUGAAGAGAUUGGACUGAAGUAUAAAAUUAAGGGUUAGAUAUUUUAAGAAUUACAAAUACUUUACAGUGUGUUUAUAGCGAACUGUGCAGAAUUUAAGAACUACAAGGUGUGAUAAUUUAUUCCCAGGCUGGGAGAGCAAACCCAAAGAUGCACAUAGCCACAAGAGGCCAGAGGCUCUCUUGUUUGUGGCUUCAGAAAAAAAUGGUGAUGCCAGAGCCAUGGUGCGCUUGAUACUCAAUGAUGUCUCAAAUUCAACGUUCUCUUGCAUCCCAGGACCAAAAUGGAACUUCUUAAAGUGGAGCAUACUGAAGACCUGAAAAAAUGUUUCCACACUCAUGUCCAGUUUCAGAUUUUAAUAUCAUAUGCUAAUAUUUCUAACCUUCUUGCCAAGAACGCAUUUAAAAGCUGCAAAAUAUGCACUGACAAUCAAUGCCAGAUUAUGGGCAGCUGGACUAUUUUCAAUGAAGAACAAUGUUUAAGCUGUCAUUUAUAUCAUAAACAAACCAUAGCGGAAAAUGUGGUCAGUCUUCAAUACAGUAAAAAAAUCUCUACAAUCAGUUUGUUAGCUUGUAGGCAGAUAAUCUUGGGGGAUUGGUCAUAAAGUCCCAAAUUGUGUUGUCUUACAGCUCUUGUAUUGAUAAAUUAAAUUAUGUGUGCAUUUAGAAAAGUUAUGUAUUUGAACAGCUGACAAAAAGACCUAGUGACCAGUCUGCUUCAUCACAGAUACGUUCAAGUCUUAGUAACAGGGGAAAGGGUAGACAGUGUGCUUUUGCUUCUUGUUGUUGUGGCAUUUUUCUGCAGGGCUGAUUGUGAAACAGGUUGGCGCAAGUGAUGUGGCAAAAAUGUUUCCUUUUUUUCUUUUUGCUGCGUUGGAGUAGUGUGUUUUUAAGCAAGCAACUGGAGGAGUUUUUAUUCACUGGAAACCAGUAUUUGCUUAACUUUCUCAAUUAAAGAGAAAUGUUCACUUCAAAACUGAGUACCUGGCUUGACUAGUACCUGGAAGAAUGUUGCUUGGAAGUCCUCUACUGAAUUACACCUAAUUUCCCUACUUGUUACAGGUGACAUAAAGAAGAAAUUGUAAUUGCCCUGGAGAGAUUGCAGCUGGCAAAUAAGCUAUAACACAACUGGCAUAAAUAACAUAAUCAAUGCAAAAUAGCCUUUUCUUGCAGAUGUUGUUAAGGUUUACUUUAAAGUACAGUUGGACAAUGCAGUCCCAUGAUGCUUUACUCUGUGGAGGCUCAGGAAUGGCUGAUGUGUUCCAACAGCCCCUUGAGCUUCGUCACAGAGGAGAUAUGGGUCAGAAUUCAGAACUUUGCUUAAUGUCUUUGCCUUUUGGCUCUUAAGUGUUUUCUUUAGUCACACUCUAGGACUUUUUAUUCAGCUAGGGAUGAAAAGAAGAGCUUUUAAUCUUUAGUUGUUUGUUGAAGGAUUGCCUGGCUAUAUAUAUGUUUUUAAUUUCACUGGCCUGUGUAUGAAGUGUAAUCACUAAAUCAGGACUGACUCCACAGCUUCUGUAGCAUGAGGUGUCCAGUGAUUCACUCUGAUGCUGAUUCACUUUAACAGUAAGCGAAAUGCCAAGAAUACAAUGAAGGAAAACUGUCUUCAUGGAGCUGCCAUGAAACCACACUUAGAGACUAUGGCUCCUGAGUUAGCCUAUUGCAAACUUCACUCCAGCCUGCAUUACUGAGCCUUUGAUGUAACAGCAAGCCAGGUCCCUCUGAAACCUUCAGCAGUUUGCUCCAUAUCUACUUGUUUUAUGAUAAGCAUAGGUGAAAAUGACAGUGAAAGAGUACACUGCACUUGUGUGGAGCCCUGUGGGCUGUGGUAUUGACAUGACAUCAGCAACACAAUCUGGUGAAGAGUUCUUGAAAGUCUGUAUUAUAUGAAGGAAUUAAACUCUGCAGCAAAUAGACGCGUGUUCUGUCUAAGUCUAAAAGUGGAAAAGGAAACAGAAAUCUGAGUCACUCCUCUGCACAUUUCCUCUCAGGCCUCCAAAUCAACAGCUGGUAUAAAGAAAACCCAAGCAUACUAAUAUAUUGUCAUGACAGUUCCAGAAAGGAAAGGACACUUAUUUGGAGUUUGCCUAGCUCACACUGCUGAAUGACAAAUGAAAAACAGGGAGGAGUUAGUUUUGUUAAACAUUUUAACUGAAAAUUGGAGCAUAUAGAAUCACAUUAUUACAUAACAUUUCCUUCUAGAGUCAAGUUUAUCAGAGCAGCAUCAUUACAGCCUCCUAGGCAGAAGUGACCAAGAGAGGCCUUUAUAUGAGUUAUGAAUGGUCUGAAUGAGGGAAGACACUGGUCUUCAGCAUAAGCACAGCUCCUUUUGUGCUACCAGUAACCUGGAUGAAUGUAUGUGGAAGUCUUACCAAUAUAUUUAUUUACUCUUUACCGAUUUCUUCUUUCUGAACACCUUGGAGCACUGGGUCACUGUGUUGUCUAGGGCUCCAUCGAUGUAUUCAAUCUAGCUGCACAGUGAAAGGGAAUCAAAUGUCUUUGUGUGUGGACUCAGGUGAAACAUGUUCCUUUGAAUUUUACAGAAACUAGUAUAUAAAGUGAAAUCUUAGAAAGUAAGUAAACCAGUGGAAGGUCAGAGGUUGGGGGUGUGAUUCUGUUGUUUAGGGAACUGAAAUUGAAAAAAAACCUAAUUCCUAGGAGCAGAAGGAGUAGGUGUAGUGAUAACACACACCAGAAAAAAAUCUCAUUUGAAAUAUAUGUAUAUACACAGAUAUACUCGCAUAUAUAUAUACACACACAUAUAGCUAUAGGUCAUAUGACAUAGACAGCCUUUUGUAUUAUUUGGCUAUUUCCAAUUUUUUGAAUGAUUAUUUCCUUAAGAUGCCAGGCUGAUUCACAAGCCUUGACAAAGUAUCCGCUGUUCUGCUUAUGACUGGCAUUUUAUUGUAGCUGUUGAUGAUGUAUAUGAAUUCACAAAUACAGGCAUAUAAAUAAUUAUUAAAUGCCAAUGCUGGAAAUACAUACAACGAUAUGAUGUCUUUCUGGCAUUCUGUGCCACUUAGAAAAGGUAAAAAAAUGGUUUUCUCAGUGAAAAUAUAAUUAAAUCUAUAACUGUUGAAUGUGACACUUGAAAUAGACAGCAGGGAUUUAUUUAUUCUUUAAAAUCAAAGGAUUAAAUCCCCAUUCACCCAAAAACUUUGUGAAAAGGCAGCAGUGCAUUGGGAUUUGUAGUCCUAGAUCAAAGCAUUUGAAUUUGAGUUUGGAUGAUAUAAACAAUAUUUGCAUCCCAGUGACUUCAAGCUUUAAAUACAAAGUCCGUGCUAAGUCUAAAAGAGCUGUUGGUUGGAAAGCUCCUUAUAUCAAGCUGCAGCCAAUGUAAACCUUAUGAGGCAAGUAAGUGAGAACAGUAAAAAAGCAUUUCCAAUACAAGGCAGUUGAGGUAGGGUCUUGAUUAUCUGUCUAUUUGCAAAACCUGAGUUUAUCUUGGUUAUGAUAUGAUAAACCAAUGUAGCACUUGAAGAUUUCCCAGCAAGUUAUCUGAUGUUCUUCUGCUGGAGUGUUGCUAGCGCAGCGUUCUCCAUUGCCCACCUCAUUGGAGCAGUCAGCAUUUCCCCUGAUCCUAUCGACGCAGCACUUUAAAUAUUACCGCCCUGCUGAUUGCCUGGUGAAUUUUUUGCUCCCCAGGAAGGUGUAGCCCUGAUUGCCUAUGUAAUACCUGAAGUAAAACACCGUGUUAUUUCCAUUCUCCAGUACAACAGUCUCCCUGAGGAUUCUAAUUUUCCCACUGAUGGGCUGUUGUACACAACACACAGCUAUCACAGAAGCAGCUGUCCCUCAGCAGCAGCUGCAUCUGACUUAGUAGACGACUGAACUGACAAUUAACUGUUUGCUGUAGCCCUGCCCUGCUGUACCUGGAAUGAAGCACCAUCAGAGAAAAGUCUGCCCUGAAAAGAGCAGAGCUGUGUAGGCUGGCACUUGCUUUGGCAUGCCCCUGAAAAUGACGAGUAGACUUGAUUCUUGCUGUGCAAACAUGUCAGUGACAGCAUAAAAUCUGAGUAAAAUAUUUAUCUGCUAGAUUCAGUGUAUGCUUGUCAGUAUGAAUUAAAAAAAAAAUAGAACUUGUGGAAACAUAUCUGAAAGGAGGAGACAUUUUGCCUACUCCUCAUUCACCUGGAAUAUGCUGUCCUUUCAUAUCUGUCACUAAUUUUAAAAAUAUUUCCUCUCACAUUUGUCAGUGGACUUUUGUACAAAUCUCAUUCCCUUUCUUUUGUCAUUGUGAGGAGGUCAGAAAUGAUAAUGCUUUCCAGAAUGAAUAGGUUUGAAUGUUUUAUUUUCUUGAACAUGGUGGCAGAGAUGGAGAUCACUUAUGGUGGGAUGUUUGGCAAUCCAGGUUUCAGCAGCUAACAAACUUUUCACUUUUGAGAAGCUACUCAUAAUACGACCUAAGAAACGCUCAGUCCUAAAGAAAUUGCUCAGCAGCUCAUUUCAAGAGUUUCACGAGCAGAGGAGGGCCACACUCUAGUCUUCCGCUCAGCUGAAGAGUCUAUUUGAAGAGUCCACACACCAUAAUGACUAUAGGUGAAUAUAAAUAAGAAUAUAAAUUCACGAAACUUACAGGACACGAAAAUGGAGAUAUUCUUAACCAUCUGUGACAGCAUCCAGACAUCUGUCCUCAGGACAGGGCACAAGGCUUCUGAGUGCAACAAGCCAAAACUAUGAGGGAGCUGAAAGAGAGAUUUAGAAAAGCAGGUGUAGCUGUCUGUAUAAGAACCAGGCAUAUGGCCUGCUUUUGUGAUGAAUCUGGUUUUAUCUAUUCAUUUGUUCUGCAAUGGCAGAUAAAAAUAUUUAUUUGUCUGUUUAUUAGGACAGAAUAUGACUAAAAGUAUAAUUUUGGCAUAAUAUUUUUCCUUCCAUGCAAUUUAAUACAUUCUAAUUUAUUCAAGCCUUGAAUUAAAUAAAAAGUAGCAAAACUCUACUAACUGUUUUAAAUUUUAAUUUUCAACAUUACCAGUGCAAUAGGUCAAUGCUAAAUCACAUUCACUGUAAUUGAUCUGUAUCUUAGCUCCCUCUCAACCCAAUUAGCAUUUCACAGCUGUCACUGCUUGGUACCAGCUGGAACUGUUCUCUCCCACUCUCCAGGUGCUUGACAGAGGUCUUUGUGUUCCUUCUCUAGUGCUCUUUAGGAGGGUUCUGCUGCAAAGAAAGUUUUGUAGUGCUGGAGGUGCUGUUAGCAUUCAGGUUUGUGAUAAAGCAGAGCAGAGAAUGAGGAGCUUCACCAGAUACUGUGUGAGGAACCACGUUUGCAGCCUGCACUGACAAUGUGAGAGGUGUUGGAUGAUCCCAACUGGAUGCGAGCAGCCUUUAUUUGGUACUUAUCUACCUGAGGUACUGAACCAUGCUCAGAGCAGAUGGUGGUUUGGGGGGGAGUGGUUUUUACUCAGUAUCAUCUCUAUGGCUCAGCACAGAGCUAUGCACACGUUUUGUUUCUCUGGCAGGGAUGGUGAUACAGGAGUAGGUUGAUGAUAUAGGUGCUGCCCAGCCUGCUACUGAAGCCUAUGAUGCUCACCUUUCUAUCCAAAUGCUACCAUGCCAGUUAUGCUAUGUAGAUGUCAAUGUGUUAAGACAUUGCGUUAGAGAAGCUUCAGAGAUUACCACUGAGCCAAUCCUAUACAAACACGUAAAAUUUCACUGUAAGUUUUCAAGCUAAAAGGAAAAGUUAGCAUUGUGUGAGCACAGUAUGCAUUGGAUAAAAGUUCAAAGGCUAAAAUACAAAGAUUAGAAACUGUCAAAUUAGCUUUUAAGUAGCACUUCUCACACUAUGUGUGAUUCUCUGCUUUAUUGUCUAAGAGUAGUUUUAUAUUAGAACAUUCAUACGGCAUUGUUUCCUACCUUAAAAAUGGCAACUUGAAGUAGGGAAAAGAGCUGAAGCAGCCACAGUUAAGCAAUUGAAGCUUCUUCAGGACAGUCUGUUUUCUCUGCAACUGUCACACACGAUUAAAUUUGGAAGUAAAUUUAGGUCAGUAUUUGCUACAGUGUUUUGGAGUGGGGUAUUAGGCGAAUGUCUAUUAUAAAUAUGCAUUAAAAAAAAGAAAAGUAACAAAAGUACAGCUGCCAGAGUGAUAGUAUGAGUUGGACAGGCAGGCCAAAGUACAGAUUAUAACACCAAUGAACAAAGAUUACAAAAAUAUAUAGCAGAUUUAAGUGCUCUCUUAAAACAACAUAGAUUAGCAGUGAUGUUAGCAAACUCAAACUCCUCACCUUGCUAACUUCGAAAAUCAGAUUGUCUGUCAAGCAGGGUCCAAAAUUCAUAUCUGAUCUCUAAAAUUCCAUUUCCUAUUGUGUAUGUUAAAAAAAAAAAAUGCUUAUGUUCUCACAGAAUGUUGAGAAAAUAAUCAGUAUUGUGGUGCCUUGAGAUCCUUGUGUUUACAGAAAAGUGAGAGGAGGAAAAUUUCAUCUCUUCUAAGUGGCUGAUGUGAUGUCUUGUGAGAUCCAAGUUAAUUCAAAGACAAUGAUAAUUACUAUCAAAAGUUAGUAUUUUUCUUUCAAAAUAAUAGUAAAAAGAAACGUAACUUAGAAUUGUGAAUAGCAUUGAAAAGUCAGAGCUGUUUCUGUAAAACAGACAGAUAUGCUCUCAUCAGUAUAAUUUGUGACGGAGAAAUUAAACACUUUCUCACUUAGAGUCUUAAACUGCUAUUUUUGUGGAGUUCUUGAUUGUUUUUCUAUUAAGAAUUCAGAAACAAAAUAUAAAAUUAUGUUCUGGAAAUUUCACAGCUUGCCUCUACCUUGAAAUAACAUUUUUUUGCAGUAAAUGGGGUUUUGUUUGUGUUAGAAACUUGGUAAAGGUAAAAGAAAAAGAUUCCAUUGCUUUCUUAUCUGUAAAUUUCCCCUUUCCAGCCCCAAAAAACCCAACAAUAACAACAAUGAAACCAGGAAAAGAAAAAUAAGAGAAAUUUUUUUUUUUAAUUUUUAGACAUUCACUUAAGAAAAAAAUAUCCUGGUUUUCACUCUGCAUUAGGUCAGAAUAGCUCAAUUUUCCUAACUAGAGUUAUGUUCAUCUUAGAGAAAGGGGGAAAAAAAAAAAAAAAAAAACAACAUGGCCUGUUUACCCUAGCUUUGAACAGACUGUGCGAUAACCAUUUUUCAGUUUAAGCUCCUUGUCUUAAUGUAUUAAAUCUAGCAUUUCCUUUCUAUCUGCUAUGAUGUCAUACAUUAGAGACUAAUGAGAGAGACACAGAUGUCGGGAUCUCACAUUCCCUUGUGUUUUGAGUUCAUUCAACAAGGCUUGAUGUUCUCUCCAAGGCUUUCCUUCCUUCUUGGCUAGCUCUACACCACAUUUGAAGCCCAGACCAUGCUUCAUUUAGCACAGACCUUGACCCUCAACUGGAGGAGCAAACAUGCUGUGCCUGGUUCUGAUGCCUACUUAUUUUGUUUCUACUGCUGUCACAAUAUUAUGACAGCAGAAAUCUCCCUUCAAGUGUAGAUGCCUAUAUGUGAGCUUUAAGUUUUUGGCAAGCAAUAACAUGGACUAUGCUUCUGGCUGCAUGGUUGAACAUCAUGAAGCUGCUGGCUGAUCAAGGAAGCUGUUCAGCUGCUGGUUGGUAGCCAGGGGGAAGCUGGUUAUGCUCAGAACUGCCUGUUCUUGUAGGCUAGUCCAUAGUCACUGAAGCAUAGUCACAAACUGGGAUUGAUACCUGGGAAAUAUAACUGGUUUUGGCUACCAGAAGUAUAAAAAACAGAUGGGAUCAAUAUAUCUUUCGCAAGCUUAAACAGAUAGUUUAUAGUCAGAUUUCUCAAUUAAAAAUGUCUUGGUAGUUAAUUCUUAACAAAGAUUGAUAUUAAUUUCGAUACUAGGCCAAUGUUUUGGACUGGCUCCUGACUUGAUUUCGGACAGCUUCUGUUUAUGACCCAGCCUGCUGCUCAGCCCAGUGCUAUAGCGUAGCUGAGAGGAUAUGGACUUUCCCCUGCAGUUAUAUGCAUGCAUAUGCUAUGAAAACUGGUGGCAGUUGCUCAGGAGUAUCAGCAGACAUAGUUUGGGUUGAUGCAUCCAACCGUGCUGCCAAAAGCAGAGCUGAAACAAUGAGUUGAAAUCUCCUCAUUUCAGCACACAACAGAUUGAUGCGAAUAUGGAAGCCUUUCCUAACAGCUGGUGUUUUAUGCACUCUUGCUUUGUGCCUCUUGUUAUUUGUUAUAGCCUCCAAUGUGACAAGAUGUUAGCAGAGCUGAUUUUAAGGUCACACAGGAACUUGCAGUCACACAGAGAGCUUGCCUUGCCCUUUAUAAAUAAAUGAUGUGCAGCUUACUGUGUUCAAAAACCUGGCCAUUCCUACUCAUCUCAUGCAGUGUUCUGUUGCUGACUGAGGACUUCAGAUGUGUCUGCAUCCACUCUACUCGCUUGUCAUCCAGUCUGUAGAUUGUAAUAUGGUUCUCCAUUUGGUUGAAGUCUUUCAGCCUUGUUUUUCAAUUUCAGCUUUAUUUCUUAUUUUAAAAUCAAUAACAGAAAUUCAUCUCCUCACAUCUGACCUGAAAACUUUCUGGAAGCUGUCUGUGCAGCUGAGUCCCAUAGUAGCUUUAUAACCGCCCAUCCUUGCUUGAUUGGUUUCCAUAAACAACUCCAUUAAAAAAAGAAAAAAAAAAAAAAAAAAAAGAGGCCAUGCUUUGCUCCAAAUGCGAACUACUCUAUCUCAGAAUAUCUUCUAUGGCUAGAACAAAUGUGGGGGAGGAGAAGAAAAGGAAAUCAUGACUUUCUCCCACUCCCUCUCUUCUGAAUUGCUCACCAAAACGGAAUGUAAAAACAGUGCAUUUUUUCACUUGUAUUUGCUACAGGCUAGGAUUUCUGAUCUAUAAGCAGUGCUUGGCUGAGGCUGUUAUGGUACACAGUGUAGUAGCUAUAGUGUAUUUUUAGAAAAGGAAGAAAUCCAGAUUAAGGAGACAGAUGAUAGCGAGGUUAUCCUCUAAGGUCCAAACAAAAAUGGCUGGAUGAAAGGAAGACCUGUUAUCAUCUGAAGAGAAAAGUUUAUUUCAGACUAUUCUACAUAGCCUGAAAGACUGAAUUUCACUGUGAAGGGCCCCAAAGACUGGCAAGUGGCUGAAAUUGACAGAAUUGUUUGCAUGCUGUGCUAUCUGCUCUGCAAUUACUGGCAUUUCUGAAGAAUUGGCCUUCCUUCUGGGGUUUUGUACAUUUUAUUGUGGUCUAUACCACAUCAUUUUCUCAAGAAUGGAAAAAAAUAAUAAAAAGAGAAAAGGAAAAACACCUGUGCAUUUAGAUUACAUAUAGCAACCACCAAGCAACAUAAAGACCUACUUACAUGUACAUAACAGAAUCAAAGAAUGAAAACCCACGCUGAUUUAUCUUCAAAUUACCAUUUCUUUUUGAGGCUAUGCAAAAUUGCAUAUGCUUCUAUUAGGUUUUUUCCCCUUCAAGGCAAUUCAGAUACAUCUCUCUGUUGUGUAGCCCAUCUUCACUGCUAUGAAGCAUUCUCCCCACAAACCACUUCCUGCAGGGUCUAUAAUGCCAGCAUAUGAGAACAUAAAAGCAUAGAUAAAAGAAGUAGGAGGGUAAAGCAAGCUGUUUGGGCACAAGGUUUUUAAGGCACAAUUUCUCAACUCUCUAGCAUUUUUAUUUAUUUUUACCUAGUUCAAAAGUUGUGGGAAAGAUGUGUUCCCAUAUUUAAAUAAAUGAGCUGCUCUGGCUGAGGUUCUAGAACAUAAAACAUUCUAUUAUCCUUGCAGUACUGAGUUAGAGUCAGUGGAUGAAAAAUUUCAAGUAAAGUUUCCUAAAUGUGUUGCUGAAUAGGACAGAUGAUCUGAUGCUGUCAGAAGAGGCCAGUUCUUCUCCAGUGCCCUGUCUGUACUUGAAUUAGUAUAAGCUAGCUUUUUGACUAUAGACAUAAGCUGUACUCAUAGGAAGAUGUGAUCUUGUUCUGCUAUAACAUGAAUGUGGGACAGAGGGCUGUUUAUCAGUUCUUGUGAAAACUUGGCUUUGUUUUUCCUAGUUUACACUUCAUACCACAAACUAUUCAACAACUUCAGAGUCUUGGGCAAAUUUAAAAUAGAAAUAGACAAGAAAGUGCUAUGAGAAUUUCAGUUCAAGUAUGUUAACUUUUGUAGCCUUGCUGUGGUGGAAUGUUGUAGAAUCAUAGAAUCGUUCAGGUUGGGAAAGACCUCUAGGAUGUAGUCCAACCAUCCACCUACCACCAGUAUUACUAACCGUGUCCCUUUGUACCUCACUAUUAUCAUUAUUUUUAAAUAAGAUUUCUGCAGAUAUUUUUUAAUUUCCAUUUCUGUCCCUCACAGAGCUCUGUAUUUAUGCUUAAGGUGCAUUGGGUAUCACUAAACAGUCAAAUUGCUUGAUAUACCUAAUAUCAGAACAUUGCACUAAUAUCUCAGUGGCCGAACAACAGGAGAUGUUAUGUCACUGACUCAGAUCAUUAGGGAUGCUUUAUGUACUGCCAUGGCUUUUAAAGUGAAAUAAAUAGUCUCAAGGUGUCUGUUAGGAGCAGGACUUCAAGAUGAAACCUCAAAGAAAAGCCUAAAAGUGUGGUACCUGAGUUCUCCAGUUAGCUAGUGAAAGCAAUGGGAGAUGGGUGAGAGAAACAAAUCUUGAAGAGAAAUGUGCAGUAAACAGCAGUCUGCCAGUAAGGGAGAGCGUGGAUGGCAUGGAAAGUAUCUUUUUUUUUUUUUUUUUUUUUUUACUACUUAUCCAAGAGAGGAUGUAACUUGAAUAGAAGGAAGCAUAUACACUUCUCAAAGCUUUUGAAAAAUUAGUGAGAGGAAUGCUUAUACUGUAACAGAGAUAGAGGCAGUCCUUCCCCAGUCUUGCUGGCUAGUCAGAGAAUUCAUCUCAGUGCUGACAGCAGCAGAGCAGGGAGGUGAACAUGAGCCAAUUGCUCCAAUCAGUGUUCUCUCCCCAGUCUAUAUGAAUUACUAUUAAUAAAACAUGAAAUGCCUUCAAGAAUAGUAUAGCCAAGAGCCUAGUGUCAAGUUGAAGCUUGUUCACUUUCAUAAAAAGAGCUGAUUUAGAAGAAAUGGCAUUUUCAAGCAAGAACUCACUUUAUAGAAGACCUCUCAGCCAGCUUUAUUUUAAACACAGUACAGUCUGUGAAAAAGGAACAAGUGAUCUUAACAGAAGAAUAUCUGUUUCCAAGCUCAGCUUCAGCGGGUCUAGUUUCACUGAUAUCAGUAAAUUUCAGAUUAGAUCUAUGAAACAGAGGACUUAGAACCUGUAAAACAGAAGGAAAACCUUUGUAUUUCCUUGGCUCUUAUAUUGGUGUUUCCCUUAAGCACAUCACUUUAUCUUUGUCCCUUUUUUUCUUUGUUCCUUGUUUUCCUUCCUACUUUGUAUCUAUUAUUUGUAUCUACAAAAUAAUUCUAUUUUUAAUGAGUGCUUUCUGUUGCUCCAUUUAUGCAGCACUACUUAAUUCAUUGACAGAUGUCAUCAGUUGCAACAAAUAAUCCAGUAUAUGUGUUUAUUUAUAUAUGCUUUGGCAACACUUUCUCUGGGUAGAUACUGCAAGGGUGGGACAUGAACACAGACAUUUGCUUCUUCCUGACCUCAACUAUUAGUUGGCCUUUAGAUGUUCUGUUCACUGCCAAUGCUGUACCUUCAUUUCCUUCUCCAUUGUCUAAGUCUUGUUACUUAUCACCACAGUGAAUGCUGCUGACAUUCAGAUUAAAAUCUGACAGAGACAAGCAAGGGCAUGCUGUUAAUUUUAUCUAUGUGAAGAAAAGUGAAAGGGAGAAUCAAGUCACAACCAGAAAUGAGGACCCCACCAAAGACUGAGCCCACACAGCUGGUCUGAGCUUGAUCAUGCUCAGAGAUCAAAAGAGAUGAAGAAGAUAGCUGUUGGCAUAAGCACAGGUUCAAGGGAGAAGGGGCAGCCCUGGGUUGGAGCAAUGUAUGUGGAGACAGGUUAUAGUAUGUGUUCAGAAAACAAGCUAAGGUUUCAAACUCAACAAAAAUGUUUCGGAAAUGAUCCAGAGUCCUAUAACUCACAUUGGUUCUUGCUUUGCUUUUCAUCUAGAUACUGUGUGGGUGGGACUUCUCAGUUGCCAGUUGAACUUCUCCCUGCAAGGCAGAUUCUGUUUCAGCUAAACCAGAAAAUCUCUUCUGUGAUUUUAACAGAAUGCAAAAUGUCAUAAAAAGAUUUCAGCUGAACUACUUCUGCAGAGUUGGGGAACAUAUACAGAAGUGAAGUCAGAUGGUUUCUUUUUUAUUAUGUAGUCUUCUGUCAGUUUUACUUGUGAAUUUCAGCCCCAGAUGUGUCAAAUCCUAACCUGAACUAUAACCACAUAAUUCCCUUGCAAUUGUUAGUAACAGCCUAAAUUUAGAACCUGGUUCAUUUUGUUAGGAAAGUAGUUUCCAGAUUUAUAAUUUACAUUUUUUUUUUAAGUAAAUGUGAUCCUUACAGAGGCCUUAGAUUUGUGGCUCAUAUUGCACUUCAAAGAUGAAGAGUAUUACAGGAAUGACUCUGUAUCUUCCACUGCCUUUAAAAAUGUAAAAAGAGUGCAAAGACACUGGAAGAUACUUCUUAAGUCAAUUAUAAAACAUAUGCUUAGCAAGUUUGGACUUGCAAGCUUUGUAUUGUAAAUCUUGGUAAUGUGUUAAAAACAUGUGGGAAGCUUCCUUCUACCUACUUGUCUUUGCAGUUCUCCAAAGAUAUGGGGCUGUUGAGGCACCUAACCUGUAUGACAUAAAUGAGAUUGUUUAUUACAGAUCUCCCAGGAAGAAUGUUGGAAAUCUGGGGCUUUUCUCUGCCCAUGUAAUUGCUUAGGACCUUCAGAUACUAGCCUGAGCAAUGCGAUUCAUUUAGUCUUAGAUAAGAAACAAUGUAUAUUGAAAACAUAUGAGAAAUCAAUACUCCUUUUUCCUCUAUGUUCUGUGUCUGGCCCUAAUGCUACUAAAAUACACAUGUAGUAUCUUCUCUCCUUCACAUCCAUCUGGAGACUGGUCACUCUAUGGAUCUUAAAGCUUAUUUAGGAUCAAAGGAUGCAAGCCCUGGGACAUUGUGAGUGCCUCAAGCUGAAAGCCAUCUCUUUUUUUCAAUCCUCACUGGCUAUCAUGGCAACUUCGAAGCUCUACAGGCACUCUCUGGGGGACUAGGUAGAGUUUGUGCUUCCUUUUUCUGCAUUGUCAGUUGAAGAGACAAAACAGAACCGAGCCGUAAUUUCCAGCUCUCUGCAGAGUACUUGAUGGAAAGAUGGAAAAUCCGUUUUGUGAGAGGCCAUUGGAUAUCAGUGUUUCUAUUUGAUUCCACUUGGAACAAAUGCUCCAAAAUCUGAGAUUCCUCAUGUGGUGGGGACAGGGGAAGCCAAACAAAUACAAGAUAGUUUCCAUUGCAAUGUACAAUAUGAGUAAUUAGCUUUACCUCCUGCUUAGGAGAAAACGGCAUUUUAUGUCAAACAUUUCAUUCUUGAACUAAAACGCACUCAUUUUGAUAUUUGUCAGGGCCCAUUUCUGUUUCAGUGAAAGAAAUUAUGGUUGGAGUAGUCAUGAUUACAGGAAGCAUUUGUGUUCUGAUGCCAAACAGCUCCAUCAAAGCCUUCUCAAGGAGUACUGAUUAUAUGACUGAGUAGUAUUGCUUCUGCCCUAGGCUAGAGCGAAUGGGUUGUGGCUCAGCCUAACAAUGAAGGUACAAGACCCUGACAAGGCUCUUUACAGCAUAGAGUCAUUACAGCAGCGUGCACUGGGUGGGGCACAGGAAAGAGAAGAUACCCACUGCUCUUCACCCAGAUGACAAGGGCCUUCUCUUCAGGAGAAAGAGACAGAGAAUCAGCUCAGCUCUGCUCUCUUUGAAGUGUUAUAAUUAGAACCGAUCUGCUAUGAGAAGAUAAGUGUUCUAAAUCUAGUUCAAAUUGUAUUAGCUUGCUCCUUGUGGAAACUAGAAAGACAUUUAAUGAUACAAUAUUAAAAAUCUUUCUUGGGUCUUCUCUGGGAGUGACAGGAACUAUUACUCAAAGGCCCUUGCCAGUCCAAGUCAACUCUUUUUACUAUAUUUUUAAUCCAUAUUUUCUAGAGCUACCAAAAAAAAAAAAAAAAAAAAAGCUUAUUUCCUAGGAUGAACUGGAAUUGCUCCUAGAGGACUUAAUUGGUGAUAACUUAUGCUGCAAAUGCCUGCCUGAAACAGUGUUUAUAAAUAUCCCACUUCAUGGAAAAAAAAAUUAUGAGUGGUGAUAGAAAUCUGUCUGGCAGAAAAUAACAUGUUAUCUGCCAGCAGGAACAGAUUCCCAGUACAACGCAUUGCUGGCCCAGCUGUGUUAAAAAGCCAUAUAUUAAGAAUAAUUAAAAUAUUAUAAAUCACCACUCAGAAUGGUUUACUCCAGAGGUAGUCUUCUGAGUCAAUUGCUACUGAAACUUGGGAGGAAACUACAAGUCCAAAAUAAGAGGUUGAAAUCAGGGAAAUGAACUCAAAUGAUUUAUUCUGGGAAGAAUUAUUUUCUUUAAACUUUUUUUUCUUAAAAGCACUGUCUCUCUCCACUAAUGAAAGGAUAAAGCCAAUGCCUGAGGGUGAAUAAUGUUAUCAAAAGAGUGCUUUCAGCCAAUUCAUAAGCGGUCUAACACAACUUUAGUAGAAAACUCUGUCUUCCUACAUAUUCAAAACUUCUCCAGAAAGUCUACUUGCCUAUAGAUCGGUUUAGUGCUACUGAUUUCUUCUAAGAAUCAAGUCCCAUUAGUAAUUUAAUUCUAUUCUAAUUUGUUUACUUUAUAUCUACACGUAUGUAUUUACCAAUAAAAGGGAGGUUAGCACUAAGUGAAACAUAUUUUCAGUGUCUUGGUUAACAAGAUCAACUAUAACUGAAUACUCAAAGGGAGAUAAAAAAUGUCUCAUGGCAAGAAACGCUUUUGCAGGACAUUUGAUAUACAACGUUAUGCACUAUAAACUGCAGUCAAAAAGAAAAAAAUCAGCUUGAUGACAUACACUGCAUGUGGGUCAUGGGCAGCUUGACAGUGUUUUUGCCUUGAGCUAUGGCCAUGUCAGCUUUAAUGUGACAUUUAACAUAUUUAACCAUGAACAUAUGACACAUCUUUAGAAAUCUUUAUUGUAUAAAUAGCCUAUUUUUACAUGCAUAAUUGCCAAAAACAGUAAAUAAAAUUCAGCGUGAAGUGACAUUUUGUAAGACCUUAUCAGCUUUAUCCUGUGGCAUUAGUCUAGCAUAUGUUAUAGAACAUGAGACAUAUCUUGGAUUGUUUUUCUUUAAAUCCUGCACAUCGACAUUAUGUUUAAGACUCAGUGCUAUUAGUAAAAAGAAAUGUGAACUUUACAUGGAUCUGAUCUGUCCGUUUGUAUUUGCAAGGCCUUCAGACAACUGUGUAAAAUCCAUGUGACAGACUGCUGCAUUUUAUGACAUGGACCAGGGCAACUUACCUUGGAAGGUAUCAGAAACUUCAUGCAAUGUCAUUUUUUUAGGUUAUGACAUUGAUACUAAUUUUAGAGUGAGACAGAUCUUCCAAGGUAUCAAGCUUAGCAAUGUUUUGAUAAAAGGUGUAAUUGCUAUGUAUUUUGUUUCAGUGUCUCGUAUUCCUGUGUAUCAUCAAUCUUCCAUAUUUGUUCAGGAUAUACUCCUCUGUAAAAAAACAAACAAACACCCCAAAAACCAAAAAACCAAAAACAAAAAAAGCAGGGCUUAGUGAAGGAAGAACUUCUUGCUAAGCUGAGCUGUUUAGUUUUUGGCAUGACAAAAGUUUAUGCCAGCAAAGGAUUUAGUGAUGGAGAUUCAGGAAUCUAUAUCUUCUUAAUCAAAAACAUACAUGGUCAUAUAGGUUGAACUUUGCACAAUGAAGGUAUUUGGGUGCAGUGUCUAUGUGUACCUCAACAUGGGGGAUUUAGUAAACAUGUGUGACAGAGCUGUUGCAACGUGCACCAGUCUUUAAUGCAGAAAACAUCAUAGAUAAAUGGGUAGCAAUACUAGCAAUGAAAAAAAUAAAUCACUUUCCAUCCUUAUACCUAUGGUGUUCUCUGCAUUAAAAAAUGGCAUUCUACUGCACAGUCUUCAUUUACACAAAAUUUAAAAACCUUGCCUGUACCUAUGAAGAGCAGAACAGUGCACAUUGCAGUAACAGUAGCAGGUGAUAAAGUGCUAACAUACACCAUCAAGACUUUCUGUGCUAUGCUUUGUGUGAUAUGGAGCUUCUUCAUCCUGCUAUAAAUUCAGGUUUUGAAAUGUCUUGAACACAUGAGUUCAUACAGAAUUAUUUUUGUGAUGUCCUGCCAAAAAUGUGUCUGUUGCUACAGAAACUUAUUUUUUCUUUUAGUCACAAGAAGCUUUGUAGCAUUUCCUCC